rnacentral:rRNA from 1 species
UNNAGGAAUAAAGUCGGGUAUGGAUACCCGUUUGCAUGUACUUUAUGAAUAAGGAUCGGCUAACUCCGUGCCAGCAGCCGCGGUAAUACGGAGGAUCCGAGCGUUAUCCGGAUUUAUUGGGUUUAAAGGGAGCGUAGAUGGAUGUUUAAGUCAGUUGUGAAAGUUUGCGGCUCAACCGUAAAAUUGCAGUUGAUACUGGAUAUCUUGAGUGCAGUUGAGGCAGGCGGAAUUCGUGGUGUAGCGGUGAAAUGCUUAGAUAUCACGAAGAACUCCGAUUGCGAAGGCAGCCUGCUAAGCUGCAACUGACAUUGAGGCUCGAAAGUGUGGGUAUCAAACAGGAUUAGAUACCCUGGUAAUCCACACGGUAAACGAUGAAUACUCGCUGUUUGCGAUAUACAGCAAGCGGCCAAGCGAAAGCGUUAAGUAUUCCACCUGGGAGUACGCCGGCAACGGUGAAACUCAAAGGAAUUGACGGGGGCCCGCACAAGCGGAGGAACAUGUGGUUUAAUUCGAUGAUACGCGAGGAACCUUACCCGGGCUUAAAUUGCAGAUGAAUUACGGUGAAAGCCGUAAGCCGCAAGGCAUCUGUGAAGGUGCUGCAUGGUUGUCGUCAGCUCGUGCCGUGAGGUGUCGGCUUAAGUGCCAUAACGAGCGCAACCCUUGUUGUUAGUUACUAACAGGUUUCGCUGAGGACUCUGACAAGACUGCCAUCGUAAGAUGUGAGGAAGGUGGGGAUGACGUCAAAUCAGCACGGCCCUUACGUCCGGGGCUACACACGUGUUACAAUGGGGGGUACAGAGGGCCGCUACCACGCGAGUGGAUGCCAAUCCCAAAAACCUCUCUCAGUUCGGACUGGAGUCUGCAACCCGACUCCACGAAGCUGGAUUCGCUAGUAAUCGCGCAUCAGCCACGGCGCGGUGAAUACGUUCCCGGGCCUUGUACACACCGCCCGUCAAGCCAUGGGAGCCGGGGGCACCUGAAGUGCGUAACCGCGAGGAGCGCCCUAGGGUAAAACUGGUGACUGGGGCUAAGUCGUAACAAGGUAA